CCUCUCAUGGCGUAGUGGUUAACGCGCCCCAACUAGAGAUUGGGGAGUCGUGAGUUCGAUUCUCACUGAGAAGA
rnacentral:tRNA from 1 species